rnacentral:rRNA from 1 species
UGAAUACGAGACGCCAAGGCGUCGAAGUAGUGUAUGUCAUACUUCCAAGAAAAGCUUGCACUGUCAUAGAUAACAAACGCCUGUACCAUAACCGACACAGGUGGGUAGGUAGAGUAUGCUAAGGGGCGCGAGAUAACUCUCUCUAAGGAACUCGGCAAAAUAACUCCGUAACUUCGGGAGAAGGAGUGCCUUAUUCGUAAGGUUGCAAUAACAAGAUCCAAGCAACUGUUUAUCAAAAACACAGGUCUCCGCUAAGUCGUAAGACGAUGUAUGGGGGCUGACGCCUGCCCAGUGCCAGAAGGUUAAAGAAGUUGGUUAGCAAUUGCGAAGCUGAUAACUGAAGCCCUGGUGAACGGCGGCCGUAACAAUAACGGUCCUAAGGUAGCGAAAUUCCUUGUCGGGUAAGUUCCGACCCGCACGAAAGGCGUAAUGAUUUGGAUACUGUCUCGGAGAGGGGCUCGGUGAAAUAGACUUGUCUGUGAAGAUGCGGACUACCUGCACCAGGACAGAAAGACCCUAUGAAGCUUUACUGUAACUUGAAAUUGAAAUUGGACUUUAUUCGCGCAGCAUAGGUGGGAGGCGUUGAUUAUAAUCUUGCGGGAUUAUUGGAGCCAUCAGUGAGAUACCACUCUUGUAAUGUUAGAUUUCUAACUUUGAAUCAUUAUCUGGUCAAAGAACAGUUUCAGGCGGGCAGUUUGACUGGGGCGGUCGCUUCCUAAACGGUAACGGAGGCGUACAAAGGUUUCCUCUGAACGGUUAGAAAUCGUAUCUAGAGUGUAAAGGCAUAAGGAAGCUUGACUGUGAGACCUACAAGUCGAGCAGGGACGAAAGUCGGUCUUAGUGAUCUGACGGUACUGAGUGGAAAGGCCGUCACUCAACGGAUAAAAGUUACUCUAGGAUAACAGGCUGAUCUCCCCCAAGAGUUCACAUCGACGGGGAGGUUUGGCACCUCGAUGUCGGCUCAUCGCAUCCUGGGGCGGUAGUACGUCCCAAGGGUUGGGCUGUUCGCCCAUGAAAGCGUUACGCGAGCUGGGUUCAGAACGUCGUGAGACAGUUCGGUCCAUAUCCGGUGUAGGCGUUAGAAUAUUGAGAGGAGCCUUCUUUAGUACGAGAGGACCGAGAAGGACAUACCUCUGGUGUACCAGUUAUCGUGCCAACGGUAAACGCUGGGUAGCUAUGUAUGGAGUGGAUAACCGCUGAAAGCAUCUAAGUGGGAAGCCCACCUCAAGAUAAGUAUUCUC